UUAGACGUUGCUUGGUGUGAGCCAGGUUUUGUGUGGAAAGAGGACAGGUCAUAAGCAGAAGCCUGAGCCCUGGUCCGAGCCAGCAACCAACCAACCCAGAGCCAUCUUUUAUGCUUCCAGAUUCUGUUGCCAAAAACUUACCCAUGGACAUUGAGGGUGAUGCACUUCUGCUCCGAGACGUCUGUGGCCUCAGCUGGAGGGAUGGAAAGGAUGUGGAGCCUCUUCACUCCUGGCCUGGGCUUGGACCUGCUGUGCAGCCUCUCAGGGGCACCAGGGCCCCCGUGUGUCACAGCGGCCUCGGAUUUCUUGGCAUCUUCUCCCUUAUCCAGAAGUGAGGGUGAACGCCGAGUUAUUCACAGGAGUCAAGAGACCACACACAGCCCAAAGUGACAUUUGUUUCCCUGAAAUGAUUUGUGUGUGUUCACCUUAAAAUGCAACUCGGUAAAACAGGUGUGUUUUGAGGAAUGACUUUAAAUUACCCAGGUAAAAAUGUGACAGUUAAAUUUCAUCCAGUCUGUGCAGGUGUCCAUAAUCCCUUCUGUGGUUGCGUGUGAGUUUAUGUGACUUGUGGUUAUUUUUGAAGAAAGAAAAUCUGUUGUUGCUGAGGACUUCAGAUGGUGCGCUGGGAUUGUGUGGGGCGGACAUCGGGGGCUUCAGUGUGUGGCUUCCUUGAAGAGGUUCAAAUUAAGGCUGAGCGUCCCUACUCCAAAAUGCUCUGAAACAAACAUUCCGAGCUCCCUCAUGACACUCGAAGGAAAUGCUCUUCGGAGCACUUUGGAUUUCAGGCUGGGGAUGCUCAACCAGAAAGUGAAAUAUUGCAAGACCCUUCUUGUCCCAGGAGCUUGGAUGAGGACAUGUGGCCUGUGCCGGGCAUCCCUGGCGUGCGUGGCAGCCUGGGCUCCCUGGACUGGUUUUGUAGGAGCCACAGAAGGGAAGAGGCUCAAAGUGGCCAUGCCUGACUCCUGAGAAGGGCGGACCAGAGGGGGUUGGGCACGGAGGGCAGCAGCGGAGUCCCCAGCGUCUGGAGCUCCUGUCCCUGUUGGAGCUGAGAGCCUCCUUUAGUUGUGGCCUCUGCCCUGUCAGCAGCCACUGAGGCCUGGAGGGGAGCUGGGGGCUGAGGGAGGAGGAGGGAUGAUAGGCCUGCUUCUGGAGAGGGCCGGCAUCAGCCUGUGCUAGCCUCGUGUGCUACUCCUGCAUCCAGGGUGCACGGAUUCCUCGUGGCGCAGCAGUUCCCGGGGUGCACAGCGCUCUUGUGUGCAGUAACAGCUUUGUCUCCAACCCUUGGAGGCAAGUUACCUUUUAUUCCCCCACAGUGAAAAGAGGUAGAAAAUCUUAUAGAAAUGCAUUUGCUGGAAUGUCUAUUUUCCGAUAAAACAUCGUACGCUUAGGCUAAAUCUGAAAGUGUCUCCUAGUGAGUCUCGUGUGUAGAGUAAGAACAGUUCACGCAUAUCUUAAAGCAGGUAGAUCUAGGAACACAGAGCAUCCCGGUGCUAGGAUGGAGUUUUCCACUAACUCUGGGAAUGGAAUCUGUAGAGCCUCGGGUGCCUUUGCACCAUGAGGUUAGCCAGGUUAGCGAGGGUGCACUCACAGCCCUGCCUGUGCCGCAUCCCUUCUGCUAGAGCGUCUGCUGGGGCCUGCGUGAGUCGCCUGAGCAUUGCUGUUACCUUUUUCACUUGAGCCUUUUUACCGAAUACUAGGAUAAACUUGACCUCACAUACUUUGUGGGGAGAGAGAGAAGUAUAUCUGGGACCUCUUUAAUUAUAUGUUGGAAAAUAGAUUUGGGCAAAAUAUUUCUGCGUAUGCGUGCUUGGUGGGCAUGGGGUUCCCUGCCGCACCCUGAGGCACGUUCGCACAUUUUGAUUUAAUCUUGAGCCUAUGGCAACAAAACUGUAGAAGUUGGCUAUGACUUACUUUCUAAAAUCUAGAAAUAAACAUACACUUGGAA